CGAAUUCGCCCUUAGAGUUUGAUCCUGGCUUCAAGCGGAACGCUAGCUACAGGCUUAACACAUGCAAGUCGAGGGGCAGCAUGAACUUAGCUUGCUAAGUUUGAUGGCGACCGGCGCACGGGUGAGUAACACGUAUCCAACCUUCCGUUUACUCAGGGAUAGCCUUUCGAAAGAAAGAUUAAUACCUGAUAGUAUGGUGAGAUUGCAUGAUAACACCAUUAAAGAUUUAUUGGUAAACGAUGGGGAUGCGUUCCAUUAGGUAGUAGGCGGGGUAACGGCCCACCUAGCCUGCGAUGGAUAGGGGUUCUGAGAGGAAGGUCCCCCACAUUGGAACUGAGACACGGUCCAAACUCCUACGGGAGGCAGCAGUGAGGAAUAUUGGUCAAUGGGCGAGAGCCUGAACCAGCCAAGUAGCGUGAAGGAUGAAGGUCCUACGGAUUGUAAACUUCUUUUAUACGGGAAUAAAGUAUCCUACGUGUAGGAUUUUGUAUGUACCGUAUGAAUAAGCAUCGGCUAACUCCGUGCCAGCAGCCGCGGUAAUACGGAGGAUGCGAGCGUUAUCCGGAUUUAUUGGGUUUAAAGGGAGCGCAGACGGGAGAUUAAGUCAGUUGUGAAAGUUUGCGGCUCAACCGUAAAAUUGCAGUUGAUACUGGUUUCCUUGAGUGCAGUUGAGGCAGGCGGAAUUCGUGGUGUAGCGGUGAAAUGCUUAGAUAUCACGAAGAACCCCGAUUGCGAAGGCAGCUUGCUAAACUGUAACUGACGUUCAUGCUCGAAAGUGUGGGUAUCAAACAGGAUUAGAUACCCUGGUAGUCCACACGGUAAACGAUGGAUACUCGCUGUUGGCGAUAUACUGUCAGCGGCUUAGCGAAAGCGUUAAGUAUCCCACCUGGGGAGUACGCCGGCAACGGUGAAACUCAAAGGAAUUGACGG
rnacentral:rRNA from 1 species